CAAAGGAAUUGACGGGACCCGCACAAGCGGUGGAUGAUGUGGUUUAAUUCGAUGCAACGCGAAAACCUUACCCACCUUUGACACGUACGGAAUCCUUUAGAGAUAGAGGAGUGCUCGAAAGAGAACCGUAACACAGGUGCUGCAUGGCUGUCGUCAGCUCGUGUCGUGAGAUGUUGGGUUAAGUCCCGCAACGAGCGCAACCCUUGUCAUUAGUUGCUACGAAAGGGCACUCUAAUGAGACUGCCGGUGACAAACCGGAGGAAGGUGGGGAUGACGUCAAGUCCUCAUGGCCCUUAUAGGUGGGGCUACACACGUCAUACAAUGGCUGGUACAAAGGGUUGCCAACCCGCGAGGGGGAGCCAAUCCCAUAAAGCCAGUCGUAGUCCGGAUCGCAGUCUGCAACUCGACUGCGUGAAGUCGGAAUCGCUAGUAAUCGUGGAUCAGCAUGUCACGGUGAAUACGUUCCCGGGUCUU
rnacentral:rRNA from 1 species